rnacentral:rRNA from 1 species
UACAGAGGGUGCAAGCGUUAAUCGGAAUUACUGGGCGUAAAGCGUGCGUAGACGGUUAUUUAAGUCAGGUGUGAAAGCCCCGGGCUCAACCUGGGAAUUGCAUUUGAGACUGAAUAGCUAGGGUGCGGAAGAGGGAAGCGGAAUUUCCGGUGUAGCGGUGAAAUGCGUAGAUAUCGGGAGGAACACCUGUGGCGAAAGCGGCUCUCUGGACCACAACUGACGCUGAGGCGCGAAAGCUAGGGGAGCAAACAGG